rnacentral:SRP_RNA from 1 species
GCCAGGCAUGGUGGCGGGCGCCUGUAGUCCCAGCUACUUGGGAGGCUGAGGCAGAAGGAUUGCUUGAACCCAGGAGGCAGAGGCUACAGUGAGCUUGAAAUGUCACCACUGCACUCCAGCCUGGGUGACAAAGCAAGACUCUGCCUCCN